rnacentral:rRNA from 1 species
CCCUUAGAUGUCCGGGGCCGCACGCGCGCUACACUGAAGGAAUCAGCGUGGCUUUCUCCCUGACCCGAAAGGGUUGGGAAACCCGUUGAAUCUCCUUCGUGAUAGGGAUUGGGGCUUGAAAUUGUUCCCCAUGAACGAGGAAUUCCCAGUAAGCGCGAGUCAUAAGCUCGCGUUGAUUACGUCCCUGCCCUUUGUACACAUCGCCCGUCGCUACUACCGAUUGAACGGUUUAGUGAGGGCCUCGGAUUGGUCUCGGCCCGCUCUUUACCGGGCGGCGCCGUUGGUCGAGAAGACGCUCGAACUUGAUCGUUUAGAGGAAGUAAAAGUCGUAACA